ACUCUAGUCCGACUUUGUGAAAUGACUUGAGAGGUGUAGAAUAAGUGGGAGCUCCGGCGCAAGUGAAAUACCACUACUUUUAACGUUAUUUUACUUACUCCGUGAAUCGGAGGCGGGGUAACAACCCCUUCUUUUAGACCCAAGACUCGCUUCGGCGGGUCGAUCCGGGCGGAGGACAUUGUCAGGUGGGGAGU
rnacentral:ncRNA from 2 species